CAGUCGCCGCGGGAAUACGUAGGGCGCAAGCGUUAUCCGGAAUUAUUGGGCGUAAAGAGCUCGUAGGCGGUUUGUCGCGUCUGCCGUGAAAGUCCGGGGCUCAACCCCGGAUCUGCGGUGGGUACGGGCAGACUAGAGUGAUGUAGGGGAGACUGGAAUUCCUGGUGUAGCGGUGAAAUGCGCAGAUAUCAGGAGGAACACCGAUGGCGAAGGCAGGUCUCUGGGCAUUAACUGACGCUGAGGAGCGAAAGCAUGGGGAGCGAACAGGAUUAGAUACCCGUGUAGUCCCUGUCUCUUAUAA
rnacentral:rRNA from 1 species